UUAGAUACAGAUUAGUGAAUAAAAUUUAUUUGAUAUAUAUUUAGGAAAUGAGAGUCCACUUGUUUUUUAUUUUUAAGUAUCACUUUACUCUUUCAUGUAGAAGUUGAUUUAAAACAUACUUAUAUUUAUUCUACACUAUUAAAUACUCGAUUACGACUCUACCACGUGCAAUGCAAUACACCAAUUGCUUAUAUUAUUUGACAACAUGAUGCAUUCUUAUAUUGUUUCACUGUUAAUUUAGAUUUCAUUUUAUGGGAUCUUGGUCAUUUACUGGAUUUUCUUAUUUUGCAAAAUGACAUCUUCUUUUAGAAACAAAUCAAAUGAUAAAUGGCAGAGGAAAACACAACUCAAAAAUGUUGUUAUUGCUAUUUGAGGCAAAUUACACGACUUUAAUUGGGUUUUACUUAUAAGACUUGAAUUUUUUUCCUAGUGCAGUGAAAUGUACAACAGUAACAACUGACUAUUGACUCUUCUUCAGAAUAUCACUGAACAAGUGGUUGCUUAUAUGAGAGACCUAAAGUAAUAUGAUCAAGGGUAUGCAUCAGAAUAGAUUGGUUGUUUCCAUAUGUAGAAAAAGUAGGUCAAGUUUGAUUUUAUUAACUUAGUUUUGGUUGGG
rnacentral:lncRNA from 1 species